AGAGUUCUGUAAACUCAGAUAGACUUGAGUUUUUUCAGCUUUAAAUCUUUGAACUUUCUCAUUGCUGUCAUCAGCUGUCAAUCAAAACAAAGAUGGUGGGCGGGCUCUUUGAGGUGUGCUCCUUUCCUGUAGUCCUGAUGUGUUGACUUUGUGGAGGUGGAGCUGCAGUGGUGGAGGAUCUGGCUGCUCCUGGUCAUUUGUUUCUUCACCUGAACUGACUUUUGUCCACAUGAAAACCUGAACAGAGUUUGGUGUUUGUUCAUUUCCUUCUUUUCCUGCAGCUGAAGCUUCAACAGAGAAAUCAGCAGAACUUCCUUCAUCAGUGAGGUUUUAAAAAACACAACUCUAUCAUCAGCAUAGAAGCUGUGUCCAGUUUUUCUACAUCAGUGUCAACAGUUUUCUUCUUUGGUUCAACUGUAAUGAUGGUGAUGAUCUUCAGUCAGGAGCUGAUUGGUUCUUUUUCUUUUCCUCACGUCAGAUGGACGUGAAACAAAGUCAAUGUCUUCAUGAAAUCACUGAACAAUAAAGAUGGAGAUCAAGUCAAUACAUGUGGGGGGUUUUCUCUUCAUUCAAACUCACUCUUCAAUGUCAGUCGUUGAAAAAGUAUCUUCUCAAAUGUAGUUUGAGUUUUUCUGGUUCCUCUGACUUGAAAUAUUUUGGGUUUGUAGACAAACAGAUUAUUAUUGAAUUGAAGAUGUGGUCUCUCUGAGGUCCUGGAACCACAGGUUGAUGGACAACAGUGAUAACUGGACUAAGAAUGUGUGUGUUGUCUGUGUGUGAACAUGAUAGGUGCCAAGGAGAUUGAUAUCGCUGCCACCCUGGAACACCUCCGAGACCAGAGGCCUGGAAUGGUUCAGACCAAGGAUCAGUUUGAGUUUGCCCUGACGGCCGUGGCAGAGGAGGUGAACGCCAUCCUGAAGGUUCUACCACAGUAGGAAGGAGCACCUCCUGCUGUGAUCUCCUUCUGCUCCUCCUCUCUGCUCCCCUGGCUCCUCUGUCCUAACUGGAGUUUUCUCAGAUUCUUCUUCUCUUUGCCUUCAUUUGUUUUUGUCCUUCGAUGAUUCCUCAUUCAACUUCCUGCUUCCUUCAGGGGGGAGGGCGGUGUUUACCUCGUCUCCGUAUGUUACGUCAUCAUCACAUGUCCCACUCACCCAGUCUGUUCAGUUUGGUUCAGUUCUGUUACCGGUUCUGUUUUACCGACUGUCCCAAGUUAACAAGGGGUCGAAUUGAGUUUAAGCAGGAACAGAAACAGCUGCUGAAGGACGACUUUCUUGGUCCCUUCAGCUCAUGGUCCACACUGUGGUCUGACACUCUUGGGAGUCAGAAAUCUGGUGGAUUUAAACCUGCAACUUUCUGCGUCAAGGGCUUGAAUCCCACCACUGCAGCGGUCUAAUAGAGGAAUAGCAAAUAUUUCCAAAAAUAUCUUUAAACUUUAGCAGUAGAGAGCCACCACUGGCCCCAGACCCAGACUUUGGACAAACCUGUUUAUUGUCAUAUUUAAACCCAAAAUUAUUGUUUGCUUUGGUCCAAACCAAGCUGAAAAUGAUUUAAGAGACAGUCCUGGGUUCAGUUCCACGUAGGACUGUUGCUGUGGUCCGUGGUGAAGUAGAGAACCAGGUGUUCUGACAGUUUUCACAAACAGACCUGGACGCGUUGGUCUUGGACAUUGUCUGUGUGGACGUUUCUGGUCCUGUUUUUGUCACUUUGUGCUGAUACUUAACUUUAUGCUGUGGUGUAACCUAUUAGCUCCCCCUGUUGGCCACUAAGGAAUCUGUGUUUUAUAUGGAACAGAGUAUAAAAGUAGACAUAACAUUUUCAAAAGCUUGAAGUGUAAAUAUAACCAAAUACCGUGGAUGUGACGUUUUUCUUCCUUCCUAGGUGUAAUGUUAGCAUUCUAACAGUAGGUGGCUUUCCUCAAAGUGAUUCGUCAUCGUUCUGGCUGUCAUUGCAGUGACACUUGUGUCAGAUGUAUUUUGGGAUAAACAUGUAAUGAGCUGUUCAGAUUCAGUCUGAGAAAAGACAGAGGUCCUCAGAAGAUCUGAGGUUCCUUCACUCACACUUUGACAAAUAUGUGCAGAUGUUGUUGCCUGAACUGGAGGCAUCUUCAGUGCAGUCUUCAUCCCAUCAAAGUUCUAUAGUUGUCUGGUUUCAUUAAGUCUAGAUUUGCUCCUUAGAUUCUUUCAUUUUCCAAUUCCAAAUUCAUCAUUUAAUCUUCAGGCCAGGCAGCUCUGGGUGAAUUUCUACAAGUUUGGAAAAAUAUUCAAAAAUACUCAAAUGAAUUGAACCUCACGCUGAGUUUCAUUAAUGCAAAGACAGUUUUGUGCAAACAUUGGUACAGAUGGUCACAAUGCUGCUAUAGUGUGCUGUACCAUAGUCAGCCACCAGGGGGCUUUAGAGUUCACCUGCUAGUUGACGCUGAAGGAGAUUUUGUUCAUUUUCCUAAACUGUUGGGACCUAGACCAGGGGUCACCAACCUUUUAGAAACUGAGCGUACUUCAGGGUCGUCAGUAAUACGAAGAGCGACCUGUUUGACACCGACUUCUCCAACAAUGUAAUACUAGUUAAAAAGAAACGUUCUGCUGCUCCGUCCAGUUCUGGGGCCUCCAGUAACAGUACAGUUUUCGACCCUCUUGUUGACUAGUUCUAUUUUUAGAACGUAGCCCACGGAGACCUUGUGAACCGCUGACGACAGUUGAAUCAAGUUGGCGACGUAGACGUCGGUGAGUCUCCAUGUCAACUCUCACACGUUAAUGACCAUAAGAUUUGAUGAAACCAUAACAACGAGGAUGACAUUUAAAAUGAAAAGGUGUCGACGGAACAGUCGUGUUCUAAUGUUCUGUGGUUUGUUUGUUUUAGAUUGUAUUUUGAGCAAAUAUUCUCCACGUCCUGCUCGUCCUUUAACAUGUUUCACUGGCUAUCAGUAACCGCCAGACUGUGGCGCUAGCACUCUGUCCAGAAACUAAAAUAUAAAAACAACGGAAGAUAUUUUGUCCUAUUGGUGUAGAGAUCUUGUGAAUAAAGUAUCAUUGUGAAUGCAGUAUUACUUCCUGACGCUGGCUCAUGACAUUUGUCUCUACAAAUGACUUUUGUUUUUACCAAUAACACAGGAUGUUAUGCACGAACCGUGUACAAAUAUUAUAUAUAUUAUUUAGCGGUUGCUCGGGCAAAACCUAGCUCAAGAAGCAGCUGGUUUAGAAAUAGUUAAUUGGUAAACAAUGGAUGAAAUACUUACAUUUUGUCAUGAAGUUUAAAACCCUAAAAAUGAAAACUUUUCUUAACCCUUUUUUAAAAAAUAUGCAUAUUUAAUAGCCUAUGUUAUUGUUAUAGUAUUUCAAGGUUCCACUAGGUGACCUUUCACGCACUUUAUUAUAUUAUGACUCUACCUGAAUAUGAUAAUUUUAUUUUGAAGGACAUCGCUUGACAGGAAACAAGCAUUACGGACUUCCUGCUAGGUGUACGUAUUUACUUUAAUUUUAUGCGAUGGUUAACGGUUCCUCGGCAGAUUUACCGCCAUCACGGGCGCCGUUCUUCCCCGUAUCGAGGAGCUGUGUGAUCCGGUUCCGAGAUGCCGGUCACUAAACUCCCUCGGUCCGACCACGUCAAAGAGACGGACGGAGAAAAGAGCUACACCUACCUGAAAGAUGGGGACGUGGUCCUUAAAUAAGUUGAAAAGAGCCAAAA